AUACAUAGGUACUAAUGAAAAAAUAAAGAUAUUAGUUUCUGACGAUGCAAGAUAUAGUUAUGUCAUUUUUAACUCUGAAUACACUAUGUUAUAACUUUCUAAAAUCAUAUAUAUGAAAGUUGGUCAACUCUCUUCAAAUGAUUGACACAUCAUCACACAAGAAUAUGACAUGUGUCAUUCUACUUUAAUUAAAUAAAAAAAAUUAA
rnacentral:sRNA from 1 species